rnacentral:rRNA from 1 species
UUCCCAGACUCCUACGGGAGGCAGCAGUGGGGAAUAUUGCACAAUGGGCGCAAGCCUGAUGCAGCGACGCCGCGUGCGGGAUGGAGGCCUUCGGGUUGUAAACCGCUUUUGUUCAAGGGCAAGGCACGGUCUUUGGCCGUGUUGAGUGGAUUGUUCGAAUAAGCACCGGCUAACUACGUGCCAGCAGCCGCGGUAAUACGUAGGGUGCAAGCGUUAUCCGGAUUUAUUGGGUUUAAAGGGUGCGCAGGCGGCACGGCAAGCCGGUGGUCAAAUCGCGGGGCUCAACCCCGCCCAGCCGUCGGAACUGCCGGGCUAGAGUGGGCGAGAAGUGCGCGGAAUGCGUGGUGUAGCGGUGAAAUGCAUAGAUAUCACGCAGAACUCCGAUUGCGAAGGCAGCGCACCGGCGCCCUACUGACGCUCAGGCACGAAAGCGUGGGUAUCGAACAGGAUUAGAUACCCCUGUA